rnacentral:rRNA from 1 species
UUUAAGCUUCCUACGGGAGGCUGCAGUGGGGAAUCUUGCGCAAUGUUGUGAAAGCCUGACGCAGCCAUGCCGCGUGAAUGAUGAAGGUCUUAGGAUUGUAAAAUUCUUUCACCGGGGACGAUAAUGACGGUACCCGGAGAAGAAGCCCCGGCUAACUUCGUGCCAGCAGCCGCGGUAAUACGAAGGGGGCUAGCGUUGCUCGGAAUUACUGGGCGUAAAGGGAGCGUAGGCGGACAUUUAAGUCAGGGGUGAAAUCCCGGGGCUCAACCUCGGAAUUGCCUUUGAUACUGGGUGUCUUGAGUAUGAGAGAGGUGUGUGGAACUCCGAGUGUAGAGGUGAAAUUCGUAGAUAUUCGGAAGAACACCAGUGGCGAAGGCGACACACUGGCUCAUUACUGACGCUGAGGCUCGAAAGCGUGGGGAGCAAACAGGAUUAGAUACCCUUGUAGUCGAAUUCU